GCAAUCAGUGGAUGCCUUGGCAGUAAAAGCCGAAGAAGGACGUUUCAAGCCUGCGAAAGUUAUCGGGGAGGUGGCAAGAACUUAUGAUCCGGUAGUGUCCGAAUGGGGAAACCUAACCAGAUUUAUCUGGUUGUUACGCUUUGAUUUAUCAAAGUGUUUCGGGAACUUGGGGAACUGAAAUAUCUAAGUACCCAAAGGAAAAGAAAUCGAAUGAGAACCCCUUAGUAAGCGACGAGCGAACAGGGGCGAGUCUAAACCACGAAUUUAUUCGUGGGGUUGCAGGGCCAGACACAACUUAGUUUUUUCGAUAGAAGAACAAUUUGGAAUAGUUGACCAUAGGGGGUGAGAGUCCCGUAUUCGAAAUUGGAAAAACUAAAGUCUGGUACCUAAGUAAAUCUGGAGACGGCAAACUCUAGAUCGAAUCCGGGCCGACCACGGUCCAAGACUAAAUACUUUUACUGACCGAUAGUGAACUAGUAGAGUAGCCCUAUUAAAAGAUCCUGAAACUGAUUGCUAACAAACAGACGGAGUCUGCCGUAAGGUGGAUGACGUCGUGCCUAUUGAAGAAUGAGCCGGCGAGUUACUCAACACAGCAAGGUUAACCGAUAAGUUUCGGGAAGCCGAAGGGAAACCAAGUCUUAACAGGGCGUGUAGUUGUGUUGUGUAGACCCGAAACCAGGUGAGCUAACCAUGAGCAGGCUGAAGGUUGGAGAAAUCCAACUGGAGGGCCGAACAGGUUGAUGUCGCAAAAUCAUCUGAUGACUUGUGGUUAGAGGUAAUAUGCCUAACGAACCUGGAGAUAGCUGGUUCUCCUCGAAACAUGUUUUGGCAUGGCCUCGUAUUUACGGUAUGGGGGGUAGAGUGCUGAAUGGACUUUGCGAAUAAAAUCGUAAUUUCCAACCAAACUCCGAAUACCCAUAUCAAUUGUACGGGAGUCAGUGGCUGGGGGCUAAGCUCCAGUCGCAAAAGGGAAACAUCCCAGACCCUCAAAUAAGGUCUCUAAAUAUAUAUUAAGUGGUAAAGGACGUGUCAUUUCUCAGACACCUAGGAGGUCGGCUCAGAAGCAGCCAUCCUUGAAAGAAAGCGUAACAGCUCACUAGCCGAGAGAUACACGGCCGAAGACGUAACGAGGCUAGAUGUGAGUGGUAGAGGAGCGUUCCUGUAGCUUUGAAGGCUGACCGUAAGGUUUGCUGGAGCGGCAGGAAGUGAGAAUGCCGGCAUGAGUAGCGUAAUAAAGUGAGAAUCUUUAUAUCCGAAUGAGCAAGGUUUCCUACGCAACGUUCGUCGACGUAGGGUAAGGCGACCCUUAGGUGAGGCCAUAAUGGCGUAGCCGAUGGAUUACUGGUCGAUAUUCCAGUCCUUGUCUGUAAUCGUUAUUAACUGGGGCGGGACGAAGUUGGAUAGUCUGGGCGAUGUGUUGAAGAUACAUUCGCUUAAGCAGUUAGUCAGUCACUAUUGGCAAAUCCGUAGUGGCGUUUAUACGAGCUGUGAACACGAGUCUGCCGUAAGGUGGGCAAGUCAGAUGAUUUCAGUUUCCGAGAAAAGCGUCGCAGUGAGAGUGCAGAUAAUCCGUACCACAAACCGACACCGGUGCUCUGGUCGAGUAGACCAAGGAUAGCGAGAGAACUCUUCUUAAGGAACUCGGCAAAUUAGCUAGGCGUAAGUUCUACGAGAUGCCUUGCCCUGAGCAAUAUCAGGGCUACAACAAAAGAUUACAAAGGGGCUGUUUAACAAAAACACAGGUCUGUGCAAAAGAGAAAUCUUAAGUAUACAGGCUGAAACCUGCCCAGUGCCGGAAGGUUAAAUGCGUGGCUGAUCCAUCGCAAGAUGGCUAGGCUGCAAUUGAAGCCCCGGUGAACGGCAGCAGUAACUAUAACUGUCCUAUGGUAGCGAAAUUCCUUGUCGGGUAAGUUCCGACCUGCACGAAAGGUGAAACGACUUUGUAACUGUCUUGAGAAGAGACUCGGCGAAUUUGAAUUGGCUGUGAAGAUGCGGCCUACUGGCAGCAGGACAAAAAGACCCCGUGGAGCUUUACUACAACU
rnacentral:rRNA from 1 species